rnacentral:misc_RNA from 1 species
UUUGCUAGGCACCAUGGCGG